UAUAUUUUAGUAUAGGAUGUACGGGGGUUUUUGGGGCUUCAUGAGAAGGUUUGAUUCCUUUAAAUAUAA
rnacentral:tRNA from 1 species